rnacentral:rRNA from 1 species
CCCUUAGAUGUCCUGGGCCGCACGCGCGCUACACUGAGUGUCUGAGAUACGAGUCUGCCUGGUCCGGCAAGGUCUAGGUAAUCGCUAAAAGACACAUCAUGCUUGGGAUAGAUUAUUGCAAAUAUUAAUCUUGAACGAGGAAUUCCUAGUAAGCGCAAGUCAACAGCUUGCGUUGAUUACGUCCCUGCCCUUUGUACACACCGCCCGUCGCUACUACUGAUUGGAUGUUUAAGCGAGGUUCUCGAACUGCUAGCGACUUAGCUUCGGUGAGGUCGCAGUGUGGGAAGUGAACCUAGCUUUGGUGUCUAGAGGAAGUAGAAGUCGUAACA